rnacentral:lncRNA from 10 species
UUGCAGCACUCUGUGGGACCAAGGGGGAAUGGAUGCUGUUAAGGAUGUCAUGACCGGCUGUUGAUGCCCAGAAGUCUGGUUGUUCAAGGCACUAUCUGAGACUGAAGAAACACAGACUUUCCCAUCGGUUCCCUGAAACUCCCCCUCCCUUUUGUCUAGCUGCACAAAAACUCCCUGCUUCACCUUUUUGUUAAGACAGAUUUGAGAGAUCUUGCCCUCCUGCCCUCUUGC